GAUGAACGCUGGCGGCGUGCUUAACACAUGCAAGUCGAACGAAGCAAUUAUAAACAACUGGAGAGCUUGCUCAAAGGAAGGGAGUAAUUGACUGAGUGGCGGACGGGUGAGUAACGCGUGGGUAACCUGCCUCAUACAGGGGGAUAACAGUUAGAAAUGACUGCUAAUACCGCAUAAGCGCACAGUACCGCAUGGUACGGUGUGAAAAACUCCGGUGGUAUGAGAUGGACCCGCGUCUGAUUAGCUAGUUGGUGAGGUAAUGGCCCACCAAGGCAACGAUCAGUAGCCGGCUUGAGAGAGUGAACGGCCACAUUGGGACUGAGACACGGCCCAAACUCCUACGGGAGGCAGCAGUGGGGAAUAUUGCACAAUGGGGGAAACCCUGAUGCAGCGACGCCGCGUGAGUGAAGAAGUAUUUCGGUAUGUAAAGCUCUAUCAGCAGGGAAGAUAAUGACGGUACCUGACUAAGAAGCCCCGGCUAACUACGUG
rnacentral:rRNA from 1 species